UACGUAGGGUGCAAGCGUUGUCCGGAUUUAUUGGGCGUAAAGAGCUCGUAGGCGGUCUGUCGCGUCGGAUGUGAAAACCAGGGCUCAACCCUGGGCCUGCAGUCGAUACGAGCAAACUAGAGUGUUGCAGGGGAGACUGGAAUUCCUGGUGUAGCGGUGAAAUGCGCAGAUAUCAGGAGGAACACCGGUGGCGAAGGCGGGUCUCUGGGCAACAACUGACGCUGAGGAGCGAAAGCGUGGGGAGCGAACAGG
rnacentral:rRNA from 1 species